rnacentral:rRNA from 1 species
UACGAAGGGUGCAAGCGUUACUCGGAAUUACUGGGCGUAAAGCGUGCGUAGGUGGUCUGUUAAGUCUGAUGUGAAAGCCCUGGCUCAACCUGGGAAUUGCAUUGGAUACUGGCAGGCUAGAGUGCGGGUAGAGGGUAGUGGAAUUCCCGGUGUAGCAGUGAAAAUGCGUAGAGAUCGGGAGGAACACCAGUGGCGAAGGCGACUACCUGGACCAGCACUGACACUGAGGCACGGAAAGCGUGGGGAGCAAACAGGG